rnacentral:snoRNA from 1 species
UUUAGUGAUGAAAUUUUCCAUACUUUGUCCCGGUGAGUUCAUACAUGAGCCAUGGAUAAAAACAUGCAUCACCAUCUGAAC